GAGGGUGUAGCUCAGUUGGUCUAGAGUGCCUGUCUGUCUAACAGGAAGUCGCGGGUUCAAAUCCCGUCACCCUCG
rnacentral:tRNA from 1 species